GGGGAGUAUGGUCGCAAGGCUGAAACUUAAAGGAAUUGACGGAAGGGCACCACCAGGAGUGGAGCCUGCGGCUUAAUUUGACUCAACACGGGGAAACUCACCAGGUCCAGACACAAUAAGGAUUGACAGAUUGAGAGCUCUUUCUUGAUUUUGUGGGUGGUGGUGCAUGGCCGUUCUUAGUUGGUGGAGUGAUUUGUCUGCUUAAUUGCGAUAACG
rnacentral:rRNA from 1 species